UACGGAGGGUGCAAGCGUUAUCCGGAUUUACUGGGUUAAAGGGUGCGUAGGUGGGCAGGUAAGUCAGUGGUGAAAUCUUCAAGCUUAACUUGGAAACUGCCAUUGAUACUAUUUGUCUUGAAUUAUCUGGAGGUAAGCGGAAUAUGUCAUGUAGCGGUGAAAUGCUUAGAUAUGACAUAGAACACCCAUUGCGAAGGCAGCUUACUACGGAUAUAUUGACACUGAGGCACGAAAGCGUGGGGAUCAAACAGG
rnacentral:rRNA from 1 species